AAACGGAGUCCUGCUGGGGUCUCCUUAACUGGGGGUUCCAGCGCUUCCGCGCACAACGUGCGCUUACGGACCGUCCGUGGACGUUACUGUGAACAAAACAGCGUGUUCAAAGCAAGUGGCCUGCCUGCCCUGCAUGUUAAAGCAUGGAAUAACAAGGCAUCGACCACUCGGCGGUGCUUUUGUUGGUCUUUCCCUCCCGGUGGGAAUGCGCAGGCGUGCACACUGCCGGCCUUUUGGCCGGUCUGGGUGCCGUCUCUUCGAGAUCAAUAGGGGCAAACGGGGAGAUACCUAUUGUGGGGAGAGCGGUGAAAUGCGAUGACCCCCAUAAGAGGAACUUCAGCGAAAGCAGUUCUCAAGACUGCCUUCGUUAAUCAAGAACGAGACUGUGGGGAUCAAAGAUGAUCAGAUACCGUCGUAGUCCACUAGCGUAAACGAUGCCGACUCAUCAUUGGGGGGCAUCUCUAACAAGCGCCCCCCAGUGGUUCUCCCCCCUGUAAGAGAAAUCUAAGUUUAUGGGCUCAGGGGGGAGUAUGGCUGCAAGGCUGAAACUUGAAGGAAUUGACGGAAUGAC
rnacentral:rRNA from 1 species